GGCAUCGCUAAUAAAAAUUCCAUCGGUUUUAUUGAACUUCAGAAAUUGGCUACGGCAGAAAGAAAAAUCCAACCCUAAAUAAUACUUCUCUGCUUCGUCGACCAAAUUGGAACUCCUUCUAGGUCAGUGUUGAUCAUGGAGAUGAUGCUCAUUUGGGGUAUUUCAGUUUAAGUUUUCGUUUCAUCUUUCAUCAUUCAUUUUUCUUCUUAUUCUUCCAUAUUUCAGUUGGGGGUGUUGUAGUACAGAGUACUGUGAAGUUGGCAUUUUUUGAUCAUUUGAUAGCUUGCUUACAUUUUUUCUGAUUUGCAUGUUUCUGAUCAUUGUUCUUGUUGGUCUUUGUUGAAGUACAUACAGCAAUGGCCAACUUCUUUAUUUCUGAUUUUAUAUAUGAUUUAUUUAUUAGUGUUUACAUUAGUCUAUCAUUCAGUUUUUGGAUGCUUAUAUUGAAUAUUUUUAUGGAGUUUUAAUGUUUCGUUAAAAACUAUGCAUGUUUACAAAAAUUAAAGAAUAAAUUGAAUGAUUUGAAUGAUCCUCAAAAAUUAAAGAACAG
rnacentral:lncRNA from 1 species